rnacentral:rRNA from 1 species
GCGGCAAGAGCUCAAUUUGAAUCCGGCCCCCCCUGGGGGCCUGAGUUGUAAUUUGCAGAGGAUGCUUCGGGCGCGACCGCGGUCCAAGUCCCCUGGAACGGGGCGUCGUAGAGGGUGAGAAUCCCGUCUCCGGCCGGCCGGUCUCGCCCGUGUGAAGCUCCUUCGACGAGUCGAGUUGUUUGGGAAUGCAGCUCCAAAUGGGUGGUAAAUUUCAUCUAAAGCUAAAUACUGGUCGGAGACCGAUAGCGCACAAGUAGAGUGAUCGAAAGAUGAAAAGCACUUUGAAAAGAGAGUUAAACAGCAUGUGAAAUUGUUGAAAGGGAAGCGCUUGCGACCAGAGUCGGCCGCGGGGGCUCAGCGGGCAUUCGUUGCCCGUGCAAUCCCCCGCGGCCGGGCCAGCGUCGGUUUCGACGGCCGGUCAAAGGCCCCCGGAAUGUGUCGCCUCUCGGGGCGUCUUAUAGCCGGGGGUGCAAUGCGGCCAGUCGGGACCGAGGACCGCGCUCCGGCACGGACGCUGGCAUAAAUGGUCGUCAGCGAC